rnacentral:misc_RNA from 1 species
GUCACUCAUUUUCACCACGUAUGGCAAAACAGGUUGCUGUCGUUCUCGCGUCCAUUGCUUUGUUAUUUGAACAUGCAGAUAUGGACACGUCGUGGGAUGUUCGAGCGCCCUUACUACGGCUGUCUGUAGCUGCGGGGGAAUCAGCCUCACUUAUCUGCCGCAGUCCACCCCCGGGAAAUAUCAGCUGGUUCAGAGAGUAUGCUAACUCGUUCCCUACUGAGAUUAAGAACACCAAGCGAACAACGACAGACUCAAAAGGUACACUUCACUUCUCCUAUGUACAGAGAAACGACACGGGGGGAUUCAAGUGUGGUGUCAGCGAAGUGUCAUUGGUGACAUUUGGAAGUAAAGUCAAUAUGACCGUCCUUACAUCAACAGAUAAAUCGAUGGACGCGAAGCCAAAGGUGAUGUUUCACAGUGGCGCCAUCAAGGGUGAACUCGGAGAGGACAUAAAACUGGAAUGUAUCUUCAGCGGCAGGCCUCUACCAAAUAUUUCCUGGAGACAUUCUAACGUCGUCCUCGAGUCAGCUGGCCGGGUUCUGGUCUCUCACAGCUCUGUGGUCAUCACCAACGUGACCGAGGCUGACCGCGGAAUAUAUACAUGCACCGGGGAGAAUGCUUCAGGGACUGCGGCUGCAACUGUUACUGUAGACGUACCACAGACGGACAGAACCGAUGUCUCCAACACGGGCGGUGCCGUCGCGAUAGCCGUGGGGGCCAUCGUCUUGGGACUUGGUGCUUUUCUCCUGGGUAUUUUGCUUUGAUGAUGAGUGAUGUGUAUAAACGGGAAUUGUGCUUGCUUCAUGACAAACCUACCCGUGAAGAGGCGCAAGAUGAAAACUGAAAGGAAACAAAAAAAUCGACUUUC